rnacentral:lncRNA from 1 species
GAGAGCGGCGGAACCUCGGAACCGGUUUUGGCCUCUCCACGUUCCGAUCCUCGGGAAUUCCUCGGGAAUUCCUCGGGAAGCGCGGAAGGACACGGAAAUCAGGCCAAGAGGGGCUUAGCGGAGCUUUUCCACGUCAGAAACCAUCGGAGUCACGCGGCUGCUCCAAACCCGGAUUUGGGGCUGUUUCCACCCAAAUCCGCAGCGGGACAGAGAUGGGGGUGCUCGGGGUUAGCGGGAAUCGCCCACGGGAGGCGGCGAUCCCACGGAUUGGGAAGUUAUUUUGGGGGAAAUUUGGGAUAUUUUCCCUUUGGAUCCCCGUUUCUAUCCUCCUCAAGGCUCCAGGGAUGGAAUUGUUCCUCCUGGGAAGUUAUUUUGGGGGAAAUUUGGGAUAUUUUCCCUUGGGAUCCCCAUUCCCGUUCUCCUCAAGGUUCCAGGGAUGGAAUUGUUCCUCCUGGGAAGUUAUUUUGGGGAAAAAUUGGGAUAUUUUCCCAUGGAAUCCCCAUUUCCCUUCUCUCCAAAGCUCUGGGGACAGAGUUGUUCCUCCUGGGAAGUUAUUUUGGGGAAAAAUUGGGAUAUUUUCCCGUGGAAUCUCCAUCUCCAUCCUCCCCAAGGCUCCAGGGAUGGAAUUAUUCCCCUCAGAGUGACAUUUUGGGGGAAAUUUGGGAUAUUUUCCCCUUGGAUCUCCAUCUCCAUCCUCCCUAACGCUCCAGGGAUGGAAUUGUUCCUCCUGGGAAGUUAUUUUGGAGGAAAUUUGGGAUAUUUUCCCAUGGAAUCUCCAUCUCCAUCCUCCCCAAGGCUCCAGGGAUGGAAUUGUUCCUCCUGGGAAGAUAUUUUGGGGAAAUUUGGGAUAUUUUCCCGUGGGAUCCCCGUCUCCAUCUUCCCUGAGGCUCCAGGGAUGGAAUUGUUCCUCCUGGGAAGUUAUUUUGGAGGAAAAUUGGGAUAUUUUCCCAUGGGAUCUCCAUCUCCAUCCUCCCCAAGGCCCCAGGGAUGGAAUUGUUCCUCCUGGGAAGUUAUUUCAGGGAAAAUUUGGGAUAUUUUCCCAUGGGAUCCCCGUCUCCAUCCUCCCCAAGGCUCCAGGGAUGGAAUUGUUCCUCCUGGGAAGUUAUUUGGGGAAAAAUUGGGAUAUUUUCCCAUGGAAUCCCCAUUUCCAUCCUCCCCAAGGCUCCAGGGAUGGAAUUGUUCCUCCUGGGAAGUUAUUUUGGGGGAAAUUUGGGAUAUUUUCCCGUGGAAUCUCCAUCUCCAUCCUCCCCAAGGCUCCAGGGAUGGAAUUAUUCCCCUCAGAGUGACAUUUUGGGGGAAAUUUGGGAUAUUUUCCCACAGAAUCUCCAUCUCCAUCCUCCCUAAGGCUCCAGGAAUGGAAUUAUUCCCCUCAGAGUGGCAUUUUGGGGGAAAUUUGGGAUAUUUUCCCAUGGGAUCUCCAUUUCCAUCCUCCCCAAGGCUCCAGGGAUGGAAUUGUUCCUCCUGGGAAGUUAUUUUGGGGAAAUUUGGGAUAUUUUCCCAUGGGAUCUCCAUCUCCAUCCUCCCCAAGGCUCCAGGAAUGGAACUGCUCCACCUGGGAAGUUAUUUUGGGGGAAAUUUGGGAUAUUUUCCUGUGGGAUCCUCGUUUCCAUCCUCCCCAAGGCUCCAGGGAUGGAAUUGUUCCUCCUGGGAAGUUAUUUUGGGGGAAAUUUGGGAUAUUUUCCCUUGGGAUCCCCAUUUCCCUUCUCUCCAAAGCUCUGGGGACAGAUUUGUUCCUCCUGGGAAGUUAUUUCAGGGAAAAUUUGGGAUAUUUUCCCAUGGAAUCUCCAUUUCCAUCCUCCCCAAAGCUCCAGGGAUGGAAUUGCUCCUCCUGGGAAGUUAUUUUGGGGGAAAUUUGGGAUAUUUAUCCGUGGGAUUCCCGACUCCAUCCUCCCCAAGGCUCCAGGGAUGGAAUUGCUCCUUCUGGGAAGUUAAUUUGGGGGAAAUUUGGGAUAUUUUCCUGUGGGAUCCCCGUCUCCGUCCCCCCCAAGGCUCCAGGGAUGGAAUUGUUCCUCCUGGGAAGUUAAUUUGGGGGAAAUUUGGGAUAUUUUCCCGUGGGAUCCCCGUCUCCGUCCUCCCCAAGGCUCCAGGGAUGGAACUGCUCCUUCUGGGAAUUUAUUUUGGGGGAAAUUUGGGAUAUUUUAUUGCGGGAUCCCCGUCUCCAUCCUCCCCCAAGGCUCCAGGGAUGGAAUUAUUCCCUCAGAGUGACAUUUUGGGGGAAUUUGGGAUAUUUUCCCAUGGAAUCUCCAUCUCCAUCCGCCCCCAAGGCUCCAGGGAUGGAAUUGUUCCUCCUGGGAAGUUAUUUUGGGGGAAAUUUGGGAUAUUUUCCCUUGGGAUCCCCAUCUCCAUCCUCCCCAAGGCUCCAGGGAUGGAAUUGUUCCUCCUGGGAAGUUAUUUCAGGGAAAAAUUGGGAUAUUUUCCCGUAGGAUCCCCAUCUCCGUCCUCCCCAAGGCUCCAGGGAUGGAAUUAUUCCCCUCAGAGUGACAUUUUGGGGGAAAUUUGGGAUAUUUUCCCAUGGGAUCCCCAUUUCCAUCCUCCCCAAAGCUCCAGGGAUGGAAUUAUUCCCUCAGAGUGGCAUUUUGGGGGAAAUUUGGGAUAUUUUCCCACAGAAUCUCCAUUUCCAUCGUCCCUAAGGCUCCAGGGAUGGAAUUGUUCCUCCUGGGAAGUUAUUUUUGGGGGAAAUUUGGGAUAUUUUCCCGUGGAAUCUCCAUCUCCAUCCUCCCCAAAGCUCCAGGGAUGGAAUUUCUCCUCCUGGGAAGUUAUUUUGGGGGAAAUUUGGGAUAUUUUCCCAUGGGAUCCCCAUUUCCAUCCUCCCCAAGGCUCCAGGGAUGGAAUUAUUCCCCUCAGGGAGUUUUUUUGGGAUAUUUUCCCCUUGGAUCCCCAUCUCCAUCCUCACUGGGACUCCGGGAUGGGAUUUUUCCCUCAGGGAGGAAUUUUGGGGACAAUUUUCCCCCGGGAUCCCCGUUCCCAUCCUCAGCAGGACUCCGGGGACGGAAUCGUUCCCUCAGGGAGGCGUUGGGGGAAAUCCUCUUUUUCCCUCUUUUUCCCUCUUUUUCCCUCUUUUUCCCUCUUUUCCCCUCUUUAUUUUUCCCUCUUUUUCCCCCUUUUUCCCUCUUUUUCCCUCUUUUUCCCUCUUUUUUCCUCUUUUCCCUCUUUUUCCCUCUUUUUCCCUCUUUUCCCCCUCUUUUCCCCUCUUUUUCCUCUUUUUUCCCUCUUUUUCCUUCUUUUCCCCUCUUUUUCCCUCUUUUCUCCUCUUUUCCCCUCUUUUUCCCUCUUUCUCCCACUUUUUCUCUCUUUUUCCCUCUUUUUCCCUCUUUCUCCCACUUUUUCUUCUCUUUUUCCCUCUUUUCCCCUCUUUUUCCCUCUUUUUCCCUCUUUUCCCCUCUUUUCCCCCCUUUUUCCCUCUUUUCCCCUCUUUUUCCCUCUUUUUUUUUCCCUCUUUAUUUUUCCCUCUUUAUUUUUCCCUCUUUAUUUUUCCCUCUUUUUCCCUCUUUUCCCCUCUUUUCCCUCUUUUCCCCUUUUUCCCUCUUUUCCCCUCUUUUUCCCUCUUUUUCCCUCUUUUCUCCUAUUUUUCCCUCUUUUCCCCUCUUUUUCCCCCUUUUCCCCUCUUUUUCCCUCUUUUCCCUCUUUUCCCCUCUUUUUCCCUCUUUUCCCUCUUUUUCCCUCUUUUUUCCUCUUUUUCCCUCUUUUUUUUCCCUCUUUUCCCUCUUUUUCCUUCUUUUUUCCCUCUUUUUCCCUCUUUUUUCCUCUUUUUUUUCGCUCUUUUCCCCUCUUUUUCCCUCUUUUUCCCUCUUUUCCCCUCUUUUUCCCUCUUUUCCCCUCUUUUUUUUCCCCUCUUUUUCCCUCUUUUUCCCUCUUUUUCCCUCUUUUUCCCUCUUUUCCCGUUCCCGCCCUUCCAGGAUGGGACUGUCCCCCCCCAGGGGACACGGGGGGACACGGAGGGGACACGGGGGGACAUCCCGGAGGUGGCACUGGGGACUUUGGGGAUGUUCCAUCACCAUUCCAGAGAAGGAAAAUCCAUGGAUUUCUGAUCCUUCCGCCGCACGUGUGUGAAAUUCCAUGGAAUUCCAGGAAUAUCCAUGGGAAAGAAGCCUCGGGGUGGGGUGGGGGAAUUUCCUGGUGAUUCCCGGGAGGAAUUUCCUGGUGAUUCCAGGGAGGAAUUUCCUGGUGAUUCCAGGGAGGAAUUUCCUGGUGAUUCCAGGGGGAAUUUCCUGGUGAUUCCCGGGAGGAAUUUCCUGGUGAUUCCCGGGAGGAAUUUCUGCCCCUUCCUGAUCCCGGAUCCCGGGAAGGGUUCCCGGCCCGCGGGACGCGGCUCCUGGAGACGGAAAUAAAGGAUUGUGGAAUUUCGGCGGCCUCCGGGACCUUGGAUUUGUACCCGGGAAUUCCAUCGGGAUCUGGGAAAGGAGGAUCCUGAUCUUCUGGAAGUUGAGGUUAUUCCCUCGGGAUCUGGGAAAGGAGGGCCCCGAUCUUCUGGAAUUUGGGGUUCUUCCAUCGGGAUCUGGGAAAGGAGGAUCCCGAUCUUCUGGGAUCUUGGCUUUGUACCCGGGAAUUCCACCGGGAUCUGGGAAAGGAGGAUCCUGAUCCUCUGGGAUCUUGGAUUUGUACCCAGGAAUUCCCUCAGGAUCUGGAAAGGAGGAUCCCAACCUUCUGGAAUUUGGGAUUCUUCCCUCGGGAUCUGGGAACGAGGAUCCCGAUCUUCUGGAAUUUGGGGUUCUUCCCUUGGGAUCUGGGAAAGGAGGAUCCCGAUCUUCCGGAAUUUGGGGUUCUUCCAUCGGGAUCUGGGAAAGGAGGAUCCCAACCUUCCGGAAUUUGGGAUUCUUCCAUUGGGAUCUGGGAAAGGAGGAUCCUGAUCUCCUGGGGUCUUGGAUUUGUUCCCGGGAAUUCUGUUGGGAUCUGGGAAAGGAGGAUCCCAACCUUCUGGAAGUUGGAAUUCUUCCAUUGGGAUCUGGAAAAGGAGGAUCCUGAUCUUCUGGAAGUUGGAGUUCUUCCCUUGGGAUCUGGGAAAGAGGAUCCCGAUCCCCUGGGACCUCAGCUUUGCCUCCAGGAAUUCCCUCGGGAUCUGGGAAAAGAGGAUCCCGAUCUUCCAGAAUUUGGGGUCCUUCCCUCGGGAUCUGGGAGAGGAGGAUCCCGAUUUUCCGGAAUUUGGGGUUCUUCCCUCAGGAUCUGGGAAAGGAGGAUCCCGAUCUUCCAGAAUUUGGGGUUCUUCCAUUGGGAUCUGGGAAAGGAGGAUCCAGAUCUUCUGGGAUCUCAGCUUUGUACCCGGGAAUUCCAUCGGGAUCUGGGAAAGGAGAAUCCCGAUCUUCCGGAAUUUGGGAUCCUUCCCUCGGGAUCUGGGAAAGGAGGGUCCCGAUCUUCUGGAAUUUGGGGUUCUUCCAUCGGAAUCUGGGAAGGACGGUCCUGAUCUCCUGGGAUCUUGGAUACGUACCCAGGAAUUCCCUCGGGAUCUGGGAAAGGAGGAUCCCGAUCCCUCAGGAACACGGGGGGAUUCUUCCCUCGGAAUAUGGGAAAAUUCCUGUCCCCAAUGUCACAUUUCUGUCCCCCCCCAAUGUCACAUUUCUGUCCCCCCCAAUGUCACAUUUCUGUCCCCCCAAUGUCACAUUUCUGUCCCCAGUGUCACAUUUCUGUCCCCCAAUGUCACAUUUCUGUCCCCCCAAUGUCACAUUUCUGUCCCCAAUGUCACAUUUCUGUCCCCCCAAUGUCACAUUUCUGUCCCCAAUGUCACAUUUCUGUCCCCCCCAAUGUCACAUUUCUGUCCCCAAUGUCACAUUUCUGUCCCCAGUGUCACAUUUCUGUCCCCAAUGUCACAUUUCUGUCCCCCCAAUGUCACAUUUCUGUCCCCAAUGUCACAUUUCUGUCCCCAGUGUCACAUUUCUGUCCCCAAUGUCACAUUCCUGUCCCCAAUGUCACAUUUCUGUCCCCAAUGUCACAUUUCUGUCCCCCCCAAUGUCACAUUUCUGUCCCCAAUGUCACAUUUCUGUCCCCCCAAUGUCACAUUUCUGUCCCCCCCAAUGUCACAUUUCUGUCCCCCCAGUGUCACAUUUCUGUCCCCCCAAUGUCACAUUUCUGUCCCCCCAAUGUCACAUUUCUGUCCCCAGUGUCACAUUUCUGUCCCCAAUGUCACAUUUCUGUCCCCAGUGUCACAUUUCUGUCCCCCCAAUGUCACAUUUCUGUCCCCCCAAUGUCACAUUUCUGUCCCCCCAAUGUCACAUUUCUGUCCCCCCCAAUGUCACAUUUCUGUCCCCAGUGUCACAUUUCUGUCACCCCCAGUGUCACAUUUCUGUCCCCAAUGUCACAUUUCUGUCCCCAGUGUCACAUUUCUGUCCCCCCAAUGUCACAUUUCUGUCCCCCCAAUGUCACAUUUCUGUCCCCCCCAAUGUCACAUUUCUGUCCCCAAUGUCACAUUUCUGUC